rnacentral:tRNA from 1 species
UAUUUAUUAGUGUAUGGUACACAUAAACUUUUGAAGUUUAAAAAAUAAGUUCAACUCUUAUAUUAAUAAA